ensembl:lncRNA
CUCUAUUUUACUGCUUCCCACAGCAGACAGGCAGCCACAGUCUCCUCCUCUGAAGGGGCCCUGAGGAGGGGGUCCGAUCCCCAGUAACCCUGCCGUGAGGUGAAGUCCUCUGCCACACUGGACUGUGCCUGAAGCAAUAGGACCAAGUGACCAUGGACUGAGACCUUGGAAAUACUGAGCCGAAAGACACCUUUCCUUCUUUCAGGUUGAUUCUCUCAGGCUGAAGAAUCAUCAUACUGUUUUUCUCAACAGCUGCAGCAUUUGACAUUUCUCUCAGUAAUAUCUGAGAGUUCCAGCCUUUCCACAUCCUUGCCAACACAUGUUAUUGUUCAUUUUUUAAAGAGCUAUCUAACCUGAAACUGUACCCAUCAAACGGACAGUUCCACAAUUCUCCGCACUUCUUUCUCUCUGAAUGUACUGGUUUGCUUCUUGCUUCUUUUGUUUAAUAUGACUUUGUGGUGGUUGAACUUCAUUGUGUCAGUUUGGUUAGCUUGGGAGUCACCGAGGUAAUUGGUGGAGUACCCUUCUGGGUGUGUCUUGG